rnacentral:rRNA from 1 species
AGAGUUUGAUCCUGGCUCAGAGUGAACGCUGGCGGCGUGCUUAACACAUGCAAGUCGAACGGUAACAGACUCUUUGGAGUGCUGACGAGUGGCGAACGGGUGAGUAAGGUAUAGUUAACUUGCCCCUUGGAGAGGGAUAGCCACUGGAAACGGUGAUUAAUACCUCAUACUUCUAUUUAUCAGAAGAUGAAUAGAGAAAGGAGUUAAAUCUACCAAGGGAUAGGACUAUAUGGUAUCAGUUAUUUGUGGGGUAAAGGCCUACCAAGACAAUGACGCCUAGCUGGUCUGAGAGGAUGAUCAGCCACACUGGAACUGAGACACGGUCCAGACUCCUACGGGAGGCAGCAGUGGGGAAUAUUGCACAAUGGGGGAAACCCUGAUGCAGCAACGCCGCGUGGAGGAAGAAACCCUUAGGGGCGUAAACUCCUUUUAUCAAGGAAGAAGAUGACGGUACUUGAUGAAUAAGCACCGGCUAACUCCGUGCCAGCAGCCGCGGUAAUACGGAGGGUGGCAAGCGUUACUCGGAAUCACUGGGCGUAAAGCGCAUGUAGGCGGUUAAUUAAGUUAGAAGUGAAAGCCCACAGCUUAACUGUGGAACAGCUUCUAAACUGAUACUAGAGUCUGGGAGAGGAAGAUGGAAUUAGUAGUGUAGGGGUAAAAUCCGUAGAGAUUACUAGGAAUACCGAAAAGCGAAGGCGAUCUUCUGGAACAGUACUGACGCUGAGAUGCGAAAGCGUGGGGAGCCAACAGGAUUAGAUACCCUGGUAGUCCACGCCCUAAACGAUGAAUGUUAGUCGUUGGAGUGCUAGCCACUUCAGUGAUGCACCUAACGCAUUAAACAUUCCGCCUGGGGAGUACGGCCGCAAGGUUAAAACUCAAAGGAAUAGACGGGGACCCGGCCACAAGUGGUGGAGCAUGUGGUUUAAUUCGAAGAUACGCGAAGAACCUUACCUGGCCUUGACAUAUACCAGAACCUACCAGAGAUGGUGGGGUGCCUUCGGGAACUGGUAUACAGUGCUGCACGGGCUGUCGUCAGCUCGUGUCGUGAGAUGUUGGAAUUAAGUCGCCCAAACGAGCGCAACCCUC